CGGGGCGGGGAACGCGCGGCCGCCGCCGCUUCUGCUGCUGCUCCGCGGGCUCCGCGUCCCGCCCGCCCGUGCCCCGCGCCGCCUCCUGCUGCUCCGAGCUGGGCUCUGCGCCGCGGGGACGAAACGUGCUGCAGCCGCCGCCGCCUUCCACAGCAGCGGGGCCCGCACCAAGGAGGACUAUUACCAGGUGCUGGGGGUGCCCCGCACCGCCACCCAGAAGGAGAUCAAGAAGGCCUAUUACCAGUUGGCAAAAAAAUACCACCCUGACACAAACAAGGAUGACCCCAAAGCGAAGGAGAAGUUCUCUCAGCUGGCAGAAGCCUACGAGGUAACAGCAGGAUUUCAUCGUGAUGAAGAGGAGGAAAGGUUGGAGGGUGGAUGAGGGGAAACAUUUCCUGUAAAACCGUGGCUGUUUUUUGAUGCACUUCAGGCUGGAGCACCUCUGUCCUAACGGUGUCUCCAGGAAAUUACUUGGCCCAAGUAUCUGGUUUAGGUGCUUUGGGCUCUUUCAGUUUGUGCUCUUCCUUAGGAGUAAGUCACUGGCAUGGAUGCAG